rnacentral:rRNA from 1 species
CCCUUAGAUGUUCUGGGCCGCACGCGCGCUACACUGACGAAUGCAACGAGCUUAUUACCUUGGCCGAAAGGUCUGGGUAAUCUCCAAAUUUCGUCGUGAUGGGGAUAGAUUAUUGCAAUUAUUAAUCUUCAACGAGGAAUGCCUAGUAAGCGCAAGUCAUCAGCUUGCGUUGAUUACGUCCCUGCCCUUUGUACACACCGCCCGUCGCUCCUACCGAUUGAAUGGUCCGGUGAAGCGUUCGGACCGUGGCCUUUGGACGGUUCGCCGUCUGUUGGCUGCGGGAAGUUCGUUAAACCUUAUCAUUUAGAGGAAGGAGAAGUCGUAACA